rnacentral:sRNA from 1 species
GAUCUUUCCAUAUUCUAGCAAUAGCAACCAAAGAUGUGAGAAUUUUUACAUUAAAGCCUGUGAGGAAAGAACUGACUUCCUCUGGUGGGCCAACAAAGUUUGAAAUCCAUAUAGUGGCUCAGUUUGAUAAUCAUAAUUCUCAGGUCUGGCGAGUGAGUUGGAAUAUAACAGGAACGGUGCUAGCAUCUUCAGGAGAUGAUGGGUGUGUAAGAUUGUGGAAAGGUAAGAUUUCAGUGAAGGGGUAAUUGUUGGUUUAUAUUUCUGCUCUGGAAUUUUUACUUAAAAUGUAAACUCUGAAAUAUUUUUUAAAAAUGAUGUUUUACAGUUACUUUUAAUGUCAUAUUAAUUUAUGUUAUUUUGAACAUCAGUUUACCUAGUUCAUAGCAGUUAAUGACUGAAUUGUUUUUUAAGUUAUGUGGAACAGAGCAGCUUUCAAAACUAAAGUAAUUACAACCGAAUAUGCAAUAUCUCCAAUAAAAAGAUACCAGUUGUCAUAUAUGUACCUUAUGUGACUGCUCUACAAACUCAGGCUAGGACUGUAGUCGCUCCUAUUUUAUCAAAUAAAUUGCUUUAGACAAUCCGUCCUUAAUAGGAGAAAAUCCAGUAUCUUCCCUGCUUCUUCUCUGCAGCUCCCAAAAGUUAAGAGCCUUGGGGGCCCUGAUUGUAAGUUUCUUCUAAGUGCCAGGCUGAGUGAGAAGGUCUGGUCAGUUGACACUGACUGUGGUCUCUGUAGCUUGGUUCUGCACUUCUCCUUGGAUGAUUAU